rnacentral:rRNA from 1 species
AGAACGAACGCUGGCGGCGUGCUUAACACAUGCAAGUCGAACGCGAAAGGGACUUCGGUCCUGAGUAAAGUGGCGCACGGGUGAGUAACGCGUAGAUAACCUGUCUUCAUGUCUGGAAUAAUACGCCGAAAGGGGUACUAAUACCGGAUAUUCUUGCUUUUCAUAAGUUAUGCAAGCAAAGGUGGCCUCUGCAUAUGCUACUGCAUGAAGAGGGGUCUGCGUACCAUUAGCUAGUAGGUGGGGUAAUGGCCUACCUAGGCGACGAUGGUUGGCGGGUCUGAGAGGAUGAUCCGCCACACUGGCACUGGAACACGGGCCAGACUCCUACGGGAGGCAGCAGUGAGGAAUAUUGCGCAAUGGGGGGAAACCCUGACGCAGCGACGCCGCGUGAGUGAGGAAGGCCUUCGGGUCGUAAAGCUCUGUCAAGAGGAAAGAAGUGUACAAUGGCUAAUACCUGUUGUAUUUGACGGUACCUCUAAAGGAAGCACCGGCUAACUCCGUGCCAGCCGCGGC